UAGAUACCCGGGUAGUCCACGCCCUAAACGAUGAUAACUAAGUGUUGGGACUUGAUCUCAGUGCUGAAGCUAACGCGAUAAGUUAUCCACCUGAGGAGUACGGUCACAAGAUUAAAACUCAAAGGAAUAGACGGGGACCCACACAAGCAGUGGAUCACGUGGUUUAAUUCGACAAUAAACGGGGAACCUUACCCAGACUUGACAUCCUAGGAAUUCUUUAGAGAUAGAGAAGUGCUUUUAUUAGAGCCUAGUGACAGGUGCUGCAUGGCCGUCGUCAG
rnacentral:rRNA from 1 species